rnacentral:rRNA from 1 species
CCUACGGGUGGCUGCAGUGGGGAAUAUUGGGCAAUGGGCGAAAGCCUGACCCAGCAACGCCGCGUGAAGGAAGAAGGUUUUCGGGUUGUAAACUUCUUUUGGCAGGGAAGAGCAGAAGACGGUACCUGUCCAAUAAGCCAUGGCUAACUACGUGCCAGCAGCUGCGGUAAUACGUAGGUGGCAAGCGUUGUCCGGAUUUACUGGGUGUAAAGGGCGUGUAGCCGGGCUGACAAGGCAGAGGUGAAUUCCGGGGGCUCAACCCCCGAACUGCAGUUGAAACUGUUGGUCGUGAGUAUCGGAGAGGCAGGCGGAAUUCCUAGUGUAGCGGUGAAAGGCAUAGAUAUUAGGAGGAACACCAGUGGCGAAGGCGGCCUGCUGGACGACAACUGACGGUGAGGCGCGAAAGCGUGGGGAGCAAACAGGAUUAGAUACCCCAGUAGUC